rnacentral:sRNA from 1 species
GCCGGGUGUGGUGGCACACACCUAUAAUUCCAGUAGCUCGGAAGGCUGAGAUAGGAGGAUCAAGAGUUCAAAGCCAGCCUUAGCAAUGGUGAGGUGCUUAGCAACUGAGACCCUGUCUCUA